GAAAAGGAAAGGAAGAUAUUAACCCAGCCAACAAACCCAAGGGCUGGCCUCUUUUCUAUUUUAUCUUUUACUUUUCUUUUUCAUUAUCUUUUUCCUUUCUUCUCGUGUAUUGGUUCAUCCUUGACAUGUGUGUGAACCAAAGAGAAGAAAAGAGGGAAAAAGGACUU
rnacentral:ribozyme from 1 species